GCUCGAGCCCGGGAGAGCCCGCCCCGGAGGACGCUGCGCGGGCUCCCUCCCCGGUCCUUUUUGGAGACGGGGAAGGCGCAAACAACACGAACGCGGUCCAACCAGUUUCCGGCAGGCGGCCCAUGUUCCGGCCGGGGCGGCUCGCUGACCGCCGGGCGCAGGCGGAGACCCAAUCACCGGAGGUGGUCAGGAAGACGCUGUUGACAGCCG